rnacentral:rRNA from 1 species
GAUCCUGGCUCAGGAUGAACGCUAGCGAUAGGCUUAACACAUGCAAGUCGAGGGGCAGCAUGGUCUUAGCUUGCUAAGACUGAUGGCGACCGGCGCACGGGUGCGUAACGCGUAUGCAACUUGCCUCACAGAGGGGGAUAACCCGUCGAAAGACGGACUAAUACCGCGUACACUCCACUUUGGGCAUCCAAAGUAGAGGAAAUGAAAUUCGCUGUGAGAUAGGCAUGCGU